GAUGAACGCUGGCGGCGUGCCUAAUACAUGCAAGUCGAGCGAACAGAUAAGGAGCUUGCUCCUUUGACGUUAGCGGCGGACGGGUGAGUAACACGUGGGUAACCUACCUAUAAGACUGGGAUAACUUCGGGAAACCGGAGCUAAUACCGGAUAAUAUUUCGAACCGCAUGGUUCGAUAGUGAAAGAUGGUAUUGCUAUCACUUAUAGAUGGACCCGCGCCGUAUUAGCUAGUUGGUAAGGUAACGGCUUACCAAGGCGACGAUACGUAGCCGACCUGAGAGGGUGAUCGGCCACACUGGAACUGAGACACGGUCCAGACUCCUACGGGAGGCAGCAGUAGGGAAUCUUCCGCAAUGGGCGAAAGCCUGACGGAGCAACGCCGCGUGAGUGAUGAAGGUCUUCGGAUCGUAAAACUCUGUUAUUAGGGAAGAACAUACGUGUAAGUAACUGUGCACGUCUUGACGGUACCUAAUCAGAAAGCCACGGCUAACUACGUG
rnacentral:rRNA from 1 species